CAGGGUUUCUCUGUGUAACUGUGGCUGUCCUGGAACUCUCUCUAUAGACCAGGCUGGCCUCGGCCUGCCUCUGCCUGCUGAGUGCUGGAAUUAAAGGCGUGCACCUCCACCGCCCAGCUAGCUCACUCAAAAUCGGCAAGGAAGCGAGUAUUUUUAGAGUGUGAAACCCUAGUCUACCACUGCUGUUUGAAGAGCCCACCGCAUGGGACCCCGCUGAAGGCUCUACACAAUGUAUCACUGAGAAGCAGCCGGUGUGGUGUGCAAUCAAAAUGAGAGAAGACGCCGGAGACCCUCUGUCUCCUCCAGCCCUGCAGCGCGGGGUCCACAGCUUACCACAGUCAGUGACUCUCUAGGUGUCAGGCCUGGGCUUUCUUUGCACCAAGCACAGUCUUCUUCGGGGACACCUCCACCGACAGCUGCAGCCUCUGCCCCAUUCAAGGACUAAAGUUUGCUGGCUUUGCAGAAGAACAAGAAGGAAGUUACCUUAUUGCUCAGGUUCACGUUCGCGUUUCUACUGAGGAGCAGCGACACCAUGUCCACGUGCCCUUCCUGAGCUGCGAGAUGGACGGAAGCAAUCCCUUGCCGGGUGACCGCAUUCGCAUCAGCACCAUACUCCAGCAGAGAAGUCGCUAUGUCCAUCUGGUUCUUCUUGGCCGCAAUGUGCAGUGGUGUAUAACCAUUCUGUCAAAACCAAUCAAUCAUGUCUAGUACUGAGGAAAAAAGGUGUCCCUUGUCUUCCUGUGCUGGGAACUCUGGACCCAAUGCAGUGAUGCUGGGAGGUGGAACCUGGAAGAGGUGGAGAGGAUGCAGGAGGACCUGCCCUUCAAGGAUGCUCUCGAAGAUAAGAUAGAGAGAGGGG